rnacentral:tRNA from 1 species
GGGGGUAUAGCUCAGUGGUUAGAGCACCCGCAUACGUAUCGGAAGGUCGGGGAUUCGACUCCCUCUGCCUCCA